CUGAUUAUGUGUUUACAGAAAAGAAAAAGAAGAAAAGAAGAGCCAGGAGGAUAGGUUGUUCAGUUUACUACCGGAGACCUGACUGUGACAGACCACCAAGAAAACAAAAUGUUCAAAGAGAGUAAAGAAGACCUUCUGCAGCAUCUGCAAGUCUGUCCUUUUCUCUUCAGAGUUACGUAGGAUAACUUAGCCAGAACUUAUUGAUGUCUGCAUGUUCAGUGGACUCGGGAAUGCACUGGGAGAUGCAGAAACGUACUCUUUGGAAGAAACAGGAGAGGAGGCAUUUCAAAGAUCCUGCAGGUGACAAAGGUGAUGAUCUGAUGACAGAUAAAUAAAUCAUAGAAAGUGUCGAGGCUGCACAGGCAUUUGCUGUGGUAUCACUCCUACAUGAGGAACCUUCAUCACAAUCUUUCUUCAAGUAUGUUCUCUCCUGUGGAUUCAUUAUUUUGCAGAGGAUGGGUCUUUCUUCCCUGCAGGGAUCUAUCUAUCAUUGCUGACUCUCUGCAUCUUCUCCCCAUGGAAGAAGUAAUUGGAUUGUAUUUUCUGCACACGACCAAGACAGCAGGGAAACCCACAGCUGUAAGCCAGAGAACUAAGCUGUCUAGAGACCUUGAGGACUUUCAUUGAUCUCCUAUCAAGCCUCGCCAGCCAAAUCCCAAGUGCCACAGGGAGUGAACUGCACUAUACCAGAACAUCACCCCCAAACUUGCUCUCAUCAUCAUCAUCAUCAUCAUCAUCAUCAUCAUCAUCAUCAUCAUCAUCAUCAUCANNNNNNNNNNCAUCAUCAUCAUCAUCAUCAUCAUCAUCAUCAUCAUCAUCAUCAUCACAUCAGGUUUCCCAUGCAGGCUGAUUUGUUCAUUUCUCUCUAAGAAACAUUUUAUCAACCUUGACUGGAAUAAAAGCAGUGACACAGGAGGAAUACUGUCUGCU
rnacentral:lncRNA from 1 species